UACGUAGGGUGCAAGCGUUAAUCGGAAUUACUGGGCGUAAAGCGUGCGCAGGCGGUCAUACAAGACAGAUGUGAAAUCCCCGGGCUUAACCUGGGAACUGCAUUUGUGACUGCAUGGCUGGAGUGCGGCAGAGGGGGAUGGAAUUCCGCGUGUAGCAGUGAAAUGCGUAGAUAUGCGGAGGAACACCGAUGGCGAAGGCAAUCCCCUGGGCCUGCACUGACGCUCAUGCACGAAAGCGUGGGGAGCAAACAGG
rnacentral:rRNA from 1 species